rnacentral:rRNA from 1 species
UUAAGCCGGAGGAAGGUGGGGAGUGAUGUCAAGUCAGCAUGGCCUUUAUAUCCUGGGCUACACACGUGCUACAAUGGCCGGUACAGACGGACGCAAAGCCGCGAGGUGGAGCAAAUCCUAAAAAGCCGGUCUCAGUUCGGAUUGCAGGCUGCAAUUCGCCUGCAUGAAGUCGGAAUCGCUAGUAAUCGCAGGUCAGCAUACUGCGGUGAAUACGUUCCCGGGCCUU